rnacentral:lncRNA from 1 species
UAUCUAAGUGUUUUCCAGGGGCUCCCAGAUGGUGGCUGUGAGGGUGAGGGUGGCGCCAAUUUAUGGGCUUUUGCCGGGUCCACAGCUGGGAGUGUAGUGCGUAUGCCUGUUACCUGAUGCACGGGCAGAUGAGACUUUUCCUCGGUCGCUUGGUGUAUGGCCAAUGGUCCCCUUGAUUCCACAGGUCCUACACAGGCAGUUUUGUCCCCACAAAUGACAUUGUAUCAUAAUUGUAUAUGUGUAUUUCCUUGCAUAUGGUUGCACUUCAUAACUGUUCUGUGAAUUAAUAAAUGAAUUCAGAGGGGUAACAGAUGUUUACAAAAAUUGCUUUUUUUAUUCCUUACCAGUAAAAUUAUUAGAAAAUAUUGGCUUUCUAAUGCAUAUUUUAACUGGAUUUUUUUUUUUAAGUAAUGAUCCUGGUUUGUCUAUCAUGGAAAUAAAGAAAGAUAAAAAUGUAAAGUGGACAUCAAAAGCAUCUAUGAUUACACCAGGCUUUGAGAAGGCCGAUUCCCUAACUGGUAGUCUACUGCGAGUCAAAAAGCAAGUGAAUUCUGUGGAACACCUUGAUGACUUAACUCAGUCAUCUGAAGCAGCUUCAGAGCAUUGCAAGUUGCAAUACUCCAAUUAUAAGAGUUCCCUGUUGCCCAUUGGACAACUUGGCAUGGAUUGUAAAGGUAGGGCCGUCGUAUAAAUAUAAAGCCUUUUUCUGUAUAUAUGAUUGUAGUAAUAUGUGCACAUCUCGUCUAGCGGGNCGCCACACAACACUGAUGUGUUAUAGAGCUACUCAUCUCAGAAAUAUGUUUUAUAUUAAAAUAGAGAACUAUUGAAUCCUCUCAGCCAAAGAACUAUAAUUUCCAUUGUGGUUGUCUACGUGGGAAUGGCACACUUGAUGUGUUUGUGAACUCUGCUUCUCUUCUGUGCCUUCACCCAAGGUCAGGUUACCAUUAUUUUUCUCCUAGAUUACUGAACUAACUUCAGGACUGUUUUCCCUGCCAUUCCACUUCUUGGGAUCUUGGUCUACACUGCAACCAUAAUUACUAUACAUUUUUAAAAGUUUACAUCUCAUCACAUUACCCCCUUGCUUAAAGCUUAGCUAUUACUUCUUAAUGCUAUGAGGUGAAAGACCAUAGUCCACAGGCUUC